rnacentral:rRNA from 1 species
GACGAACGCUGGCGGCGUGCCUAAUACAUGCAAGUCGAACGCAUUUUCUUUCACCGUAGCUUGCUACACCGACAGAAAAUGAGUGGCGAACGGGUGAGUAACACGUGGGUAACCUGCCCAUCAGCGGGGGAUAACACUUGGAAACAGGUGCUAAUACCGCAUAAUUCCAUUUACCGCAUGGUAGAUGGAUGAAAGGCGCUUUUGCGUCACUGAUGGAUGGACCCGCGGUGCAUUAGCUAGUUGGUGGGGUAACGGCCUACCAAGGCUGCGAUGCAUAGCCGACCUGAGAGGGUGAUCGGCCACACUGGGACUGAGACACGGCCCAGACUCCUACGGGAGGCAGCAGUAGGGAAUCUUCGGCAAUGGACACAAGUCUGACCGAGCAACGCCGCGUGAGUGAAGAAGGGUUUCGGAUCGUAAAACUCUGUUGUUAGAGUAGAACAAGGAUGAGAGUGGAAAGUUCAUCCCUUGACGGUAUCUAACCAGAAAGCCACGGCUAACUACGUG